UGGAUCCAGCGAUGUACAACCUAAAUUUAGCAUAAGUGAUUAGUGAAUACUGAUCAUGUAUGGAACCAGGCAACACAAGUCUCCAGAGAUGACACGAGAUCCGUAAGAUAAAUAGUCCUCGUACCUGGUGAUCUGAGAGCGUCACUAAACUGUCGACUUAAGCCAAAACACACAAGUUCAUCGCCAAAAAUAUAAUCAUAAUUAUACUGAGACUACCUUAACUAGAUACGUUCACUUGGCACCACUUACGAGACAAUAUUAUGGUUGUGGAAUCUUUUUAAAAAUAUUCUGAACCAUUAUUUUGUAUUUUGCUGAAGGUAGUAGUUAAGGUAGAGUAUUGUUGUAAUGUCGAGUGUGUUUUUCGAGGCUAGUUUAGUGCUUUAUCUUACGUUAACCAAUAAAAGUCUUUAUUACGUCUUUAUCUACAAGUAACAUUCAUCACACGAAGCGGGAGAAGGCCCGCUCUGCCUAAUGUUGUGUACGUUAUUCAAAGCAGGCAGUUAGUGUGGUUCUAUGGUACCAUGACACGCCUAACUACUGGGCGGGGAGCAACAGUGAUUAACAAGAAAAAAAAAAUUGCUAAAAAUCAUGGUACCACGUCAGCACACACACUAUACAACUUAUGGGGUGGUGGCAAAUCACUCAACAUAGAGAACAGCAAAUUUGUAGACAGCCAUCAAUGGUACCAUGGUACCAUGAAACACCUAUAUAGAAAGAGCGGAGGUAGGUAGAACAGUAGUGUAAUAUUAUCCACUAUAUGUCCCAUGGCACCAUUGCUGCCUGAUACGACCCCUAUCUGGUAGAGAGGGGGGGGGGGCGCCACCACUGCCUUCACCAGAAGGUUAGAGUUAGAUCUUCCUGUACACUUGCCAGACGACCCUCAUAGCUUGUCGGGUUCAUUAGCUUGUCCUUCCUUCUGUGAGAAGUUCCUGAAGAACUUUGCCUCAGCUUUGGGGGUUCCUCCUGAUCUAUUGCCUCCAGCGACUGGUCUGAAACUCCUGUCGGGGCUGCCCUUUGCAGACACGGGUCCUGAUGGUCUUCUGACAGUAAAGGUCUUCCGACUGACUGCCUCCCACAGAUGGUUCAUGAUGAUGGACUGUCUCCCACAGAUGGUUCAUGAUGAUGGACUGUCUCCCACAGGUGGUUCAAGACAAAUCCUUCUACAGAUGGUUCCCGAGAGAACCACCUGCAUGAGGACGCCAAAAGAAGCUGAGAGAGUCUUAGUGUCCGGACAACUGACGCACAAACCUUUUCCAUUUUUUGGCACACAAUUUUGGUCUACGCUGAAAGACAGACAGACAGUCAGACACGCGAAAGUCGCUGUCUGAGCUAUUAGAAAAAAUAUAUACACAUUUUUUUCUCUCUCUUUGCUACCAAGUAAUUUUUUGUUUGUAAAAAAAAAGAGUAUACUUUAAAUUUGUAAAUAUUUAUAACCAGAAUAAACGUAUAUUGUUGCUGUUA